rnacentral:rRNA from 1 species
UACGUAGGGGGCAAGCGUUGUCCGGAAUUAUUGGGCGUAAAGAGCGCGUAGGCGGUCCGAUAAGUCGGCUGUGAAAGUCAGGGGCUCAACCCUUGAAAGCCGGCCGAUACUGUCGGACUAGAGUCCGGAAGAGGCAAGUGGAAUUCCCGGUGUAGCGGUGAAAUGCGCAGAUAUCGGGAGGAACACCAAUGGCGAAGGCAGCCCCCUGGGAUAACACUGACGCUCAUGCACGAAAGCGUGGGGAGCAAACAGG